AGAUAAGGAUAGAAGGAACAGGAAAUAAGAAAGGAAGAAAAAUAAACGGGGAAGGAAAAAAAUAAGAUAGGAAGAAAAAUGAACGGGGAAGAAAAAGAAAUAGAAAGAAAAAAGAAAAGAAAGAAAAUACAUAAGGCUAUUUUGGACAUUUGACCUCUUCCAUCCAUUUUAAAAGAUCAGGAGAAGUCGUUUUACCAAACGUUUCUCCAACAUACUAGCCAGAGUCAGAAAAUACACUUCACUAGAGAAGG
rnacentral:lncRNA from 1 species